rnacentral:sRNA from 1 species
CACGCGCCUAACGGCGUGCCU